CAGCCGCCGCGGUAAUACGUAGGGUGCGAGCGUUAAUCGGAAUUACUGGGCGUAAAGCGUGCGCAGGCGGUUAUAUAAGACAGAUGUGAAAUCCCCGGGCUCAACCUGGGACCUGCAUUUGUGACUGUAUAGCUAGAGUACGGUAGAGGGGGGUAGAAUUCCACGUGUAGCAGUGAAAUGCGUAGAGAUGUGGAGGAAUACCGAUGGCGAAGGCAGCCCCCUGGGCCAAUACUGACGCUCAUGCACGAAAGCGUGGGGAGCAAACAGGAUUAGAUACCCGUGUAGUCCCUGUCUCUUAUAC
rnacentral:rRNA from 1 species